UACCCUUGUCGAACCCUAAAUCGCCCACAACCACAAUACCAUCCCCUUCCCCAAAAUUCAACGUUCCUGUGCAUUGCGAGCCGCGGCGGCGGCGGCGGCUCGGUACGCUGCUCCUGUGCGUCCUGGUCGUCGUUCCUCCUGUCCUCCUGCACGUCCACGACUCCACUCAGCUAUGCCAUCUCGUAGGGUUGCUUAACUGCCACGCGCCGGUGUCUCACUGUUGAUUCUCGGCCUCGCGAGCUCCUGCAGACCGAGCGGAGCGGCAUUGGACGGCGGAGCGCAAACUAGCGGUUUGGUGGUCUGGAGUUCUGGACACUGAACUCCACGCCCCAUUGCAGAACAGCAACAGGUCUUCAUCAACCUCGACGCCCCGGUGCACAAGAUCUUCAUCCUGGACUUCUACUGCAUCUGGGUUUUGCACUAGUGUUGCACUGUUGCCCAGAAGCAGAGCAUCGCCUUUGCGAUUUAUGUCCGCAUUCGGCACUCAGUACAGUAAUCGAGCAAUUCAGCAGAUUUGAUUGUGAUGGAACGAGGUAGCAGGUCUGCAACGCAGGGCAAUGCAAAGCGGAAAGAAAGAGCUGCUGCGGAGUCGUCGUAUGGAGCGAACGAAUGCGUGGUUGUUAAUUACGAUGCUGUAAGAAUGGGCAGUCGCGGGUGGAUGUAUACUGGUUUCAACAAAAAGACUAAGGCUCACUCAGAGGAGUGGUUUGUCAAGACUCAGAGUUUCUAGAUCAUGCUGCUGCUUUAUCACAAAUAGAUAAUAUUAGGUGUCCAUGCAACAAAUGCGGAAAUAUGACGGCCUAUGAUAAGAGACAGGUCACACUACACUUGUGUACACAUGGUUUCGUGCCAGGCUAUGAGAUAUGGUAUCUCCAUGGAGAGUCACGCUUUGAAAGAGACACACAAAUGAAAGUUGAUGGCAUUGGAGAUGAUAGGAUGUAUCAGAUGCAUGAGGAUCUACGGACAAAGUUGGAACCAGAUCGUCAGGAUCCGACUACAGUUGAGGAGGACAAGGAGCACCAGUGAGGGGGACAAGGAGUACCAGGAUGAUGAGACCGACCACCAGGAGGAGGACGAGCCUCAGGACAGGGCUUCCGAAGGCUCUAGUGUGCCACGCCAACAUCGCUCUAGAAAGAGCCACGGCAAUGAUUCAAUGUAACCAUGAUUGAUGCUUAUUUUUCAUUCAUAGAUUUGAAAACAACAUCUGUAAUACUAAUACAUUUGUUUAAUAUGUACCAUUCCAGCAAUAUGGUCUAAACAUAGUUCUCCUAGAGUUUUGACUGCCACCGUUGUUGCCACACCAUAAUGGAGCCCUAUGAUAGCUACACCAGUUCAGGUAUACAAAUCUUAAACAAUUUUCUAAUAACAUAGUCCAACCUAGCAGUUUGUCCAUGCAAUUCAAGCAAAACUUAUCCUAUUGUAUAUUAACGGUGUAACUUCGAGUAAACCCUAGUAAAUAUAGCCAAUUGUAUGUCAACUUUCGUGAGUUCUAACUUGAGAUGUUAAAUUCAAACAAAACCUAUAUAGGUACAUCAACUUUGCAAUUUGCACCCAUGCAUGCCCCAAUAUCACGGGGCGUACAAUGCAAGCCAACCACGAAUGAACAUUCGUAUUAAUUACUUCAUACACAUUGACCAUUUGUAAAAUCGGAAGUGGAGAAAAGGCAGAGGAAAUGAA